UUUAGUUUUUCUUCGAUAGAAGUGACCUGAUUCAUCUUGCUCGAUCUGUUGGAAGUCAAUUAAUAUCUAAAAAUUAAGAAAUUCAAUGACAAGUAUAGGAUGAGGAGUUGAUUUACCCCAAAUUUUAGUGGACAGACUUUUGUUUUUGUUAGAUGGACGAAAACUUUAAGGCCAUCAUUUCCCAGGCUUCGUUGAUCUUCCAGUAUUUUCUUAGCCAAAUCCCCAGCGAAAGGACUAGAGUAAUCUAUCUCAAUUGCUUCAAGUGUCGGUAUUUCUUCAAUAUCGUAAGGGAUCUCUUCCAAAUUCGAGCAAUUCCUGAGGAUUAGGUGCUCUAGACGUGGAAAAUGGAUACUGUUGGCUCUGGUGGCGAGAGAGAGAGAGAGUCAUCCGUUGUGUGAGGAAUCUGGGUAAAAAACGGUGGCAGAUACCAUCCAAAUUACGUAACACUGGCAGUCUCUGUAGAUACCAAAGUUGAAUCAGAAGUUGUCUCGAGAUCAUAAGUUUUUCCAAGCAUUGGUACCAAUAUUUGGCUUCGUGUAUCUAAAACCUAAUUAAGA
rnacentral:lncRNA from 1 species